UACGAAGGGGGCUAGCGUUGCUCGGAAUCACUGGGCGUAAAGCGCACGUAGGCGGAUUGUUAAGUCAGGGGUGAAAUCCUGGAGCUCAACUCCAGAACUGCCUUUGAUACUGGCGAGCUUGAGUCCGGGAGAGGUGAGUGGAACUGCGAGUGUAGAGGUGAAAUUCGUAGAUAUUCGCAAGAACACCAGUGGCGAAGGCGGACUCACUGGCCCAUAACUACGAC
rnacentral:rRNA from 1 species